UACCAGCUCUCCGAGUAGUGUGGAUGUUUAUUGGGCCUAAAGCAUCCGUAGCUUGCUAAGCAAGUCCCCUGUUAAAUCCACCGAUUCAAUCGGUGGAUUGCGGGGGAUACUGUUUGGCUAGGGGACGGGAGAGGCCGACGGUAUUUCCGGGGUAGGGGUGAAAUCCUAUAAUCCCGGGAAGACCACCAGUGGCGAAGGCUGUCGGCUAGAACGCGCCCGACGGUGAGGGAUGAAAGCUGGGGGGAGCGAACCGGAUUAGAUACCCGGGUAGUCCCAGCUGUAAACGAUGCAGGCUAGGUGUUUGGGCGGCCACGGGCCGCUCUAGUGCCGCAGGGAAGCUGUUAAGCCUGCCGCCUGGGGAGUACGGCCGCAAGGCUGAAACUUAAAGGAAUUGGCGGGGGAGCACCACAAGGGGUGAAGCUUGCGGUUU
rnacentral:rRNA from 1 species